rnacentral:rRNA from 1 species
UACGUAGGGUGCGAGCGUUGUCCGGAAUUAUUGGGCGUAAAGGGCUCGUAGGCGGUUUGUCGCGUCGGGUGUGAAAUCCACUGGCUUAACUGGUGGCUUGCUUUCGAUACGGGCAGACUGGAGGUAUGCAGGGGAGAACGGAAUUCCUGGUGUAGCGGUGAAAUGCGCAGAUAUCAGGAAGAACACCGGUGGCGAAGGCGGUUCUCUGGGCAUGUCCUGACGCUGAGGAGCGAAAGUGUGGGGAGCGAACAGG